rnacentral:tRNA from 1 species
GCCUGGGUGGCUCAGUCAGUUAAGCAUCUGACUUUGGCUCAGGUCUCGCAGUUUGUGGGUUUGAGUCCCGUAUCGGGCU